CUGAGGGAUGGGGGAGUGUUGAAAAAAUGUGAAUGAUUCUUAAUCAUGUUGAGAUCAUAUAUAUUCUGGAGAACUGCAGGCCAUCAAAAGAAAAAGUAGUCUUUCCUAUGCUACUUUAAAAAUUGGACUUUCAAAUACAGAUAUAUUCUGGACUUUCUUGAAGGAAAUAUUGUCCACCUGGAUGGACGACCUCAAGAUUUACAAAGAAAAGGAGGUCUUUUUUACAGGGCUGCUGCCUAUGAGCUAGGAAAUAAGGAUAUAUACUCUUUUCAAGACAUGAGAUGGAGUAGAACCUGAGUAUCCCACCUACCAAGGGAAUGUUUUAAUUACAAGAAAGCUGAACAAAGAUGAAGUGAAAACCCCCUUCCAGCUAUCUCCUAAAAAGAAAUAGCCUUCAUCUUUUUUGUUAUUACUAUCAUCUAGCCCUCAAUUCUUAUUUUAAAAGCCAGAGGAAAGAAAAAUAUUUUGUUUGAUUUCUAUAGUGAAUGUCCCAGAAACUGAAUUUAGAUGACAGUGAAUGUUAACUGUUUUGCCUAUUUGUUAUUGCCUAUUUGCCUAUUCUUUGUUAAUUCAUGCACUAUUUAAAAAUGGCUGAGGUAUAUGGAUUGAAACUUUAAACACAGCUAUGGGAAAUGGGGAGGAAAAGGGGAAACCCAAAACUGAGAAAUUUUAAUUCAGACCUCAAAUAAGCAUGAAUUACUCCUCCUGAUGUUAGCGGAUGUUUUAAAAUAGAUGUGGCCACAGUUUUAGAUGCCUAAAGGUAGAGUUCCAAAUCCACAUUUAGCCACCUAAAUAAUGCUGGCUUGAUUUCAAGAUAUAUGUAGAACUGUAGCUCCCACUAGUUUUGAAAUAAGUUAAACAUUUCUGGCAGGCCAUUUUUACUAAGUUAUCUCAAUAUGGACUUAGAAGCCUGGGUAUUUGAGCGUGAAAGUCAUGGACAUUAUUAUUUAAUUUGGCUGUUGCAGUACAGUGAUACCUUUCAAUGUGUGACUAAAAAUUUUAUUUAAGGUCCUUUUCUAGUUUAUCGUGCACUCAUGAUAAAGACAGACAAAGCAGUGAGAUUUCUCCUGUCAAUGGGCAAAUCAAAGAGAGGGCUUGGCAUAAGCCGAAUGUUGCUGAAGUCUCAAGGACACAGGUGCCUAGUCCAUUCGAAAAAUAAAUAAUUUAGGUGCUUAAAUAAGGGUCCAAGAGAGUCAUUGGGGGCACUUACAAUAAGGUCAAGAAGUUGAUUCUCAGUUAGUCAGUAAAGGUACAUGCUUUACCUUGAUUUUAUUGAUCUGGGUGGCAAAUUUGUUGAGAGAAAACAACAACGAAAGAAGAGAUAGAAAUGCCUCUACUCUUUAUCCCAAAUCCCUGGGUCUGUGAAAAUGUUCCAAAAGCUUUCAGUGGGAAGAAACAAAUGCAAUCCAGCAGAUUAUUUCGUGAGAGAAACUGAGUACUUGAUGAUAAAAUGGAUUAAAUAGAUUAAAAAAUCCAAUCCAAUAGAUAAAGAGGAAUGGACUAAAAUAUCCUAUGUGCUCUCUGCAUGUCUAAUAUUAUAUCACUGUAAUAUAAAACUUUGCCUCUUCCACAUUUGACAUAAUUUUUCUUCAUUCAAAACUUUGAAAAAUUUAUGUUUAGGCAUAUUAGUGAAAAAUAUUUUCUUGACUUCAAUAGAGCAGAGAUAUGGCCCUAUACAACCAUUUCAAUAACACUUUCUUGCUUUUAUGAGUUUCUGUGUUGUAUUUUAGAUAGUGCUUUGUACUACAGCCAUAGAAACAGCUGUUUAGUUGGUGUGAAUCUCUAUUGCUGGGUCAAAUUUGAACUGAAAUGGAGUUAAGCAAUUUCCAUCGGCUUAAAAUCUGAUCUGUUUCCUGAUUAUGUACAUACACACACAUCCAUCCAUCCAUCCAUAUGAAUAAGGACAGAACUUUAAUUUAUUGACAAAGUUAAAUUCAAUGAUCCAAUAAAGGAAAAAGAGGAAAGAGAUUAUAUAACCCUGCAGACUUUAAACAAUUCUGCUAAAUUUUCAAGGCUCUAACAAAAAGUGAAUAAAAGUACACUUUUCUUUCAAGGGCAGUUCAUGUGUCCUCAAGCCAGCACGAUCCUUAGGUAGAUUGUAGGCAUGAUAGAUAAGUGUCCCUUCACUUUAAACAAGUAUGAAGUCAAGAGCUUAAGGAUUAACAUAAGGAAUAUGCAUCUCAUGUAAUACAGAGAAGAAGAGAAACAUGAAAUUGGCAGCAAAGAGAACAAUAAAGCCUUAAAUUAAAUGUUAUGUUGAGAAGACAUAUAAUGGCAUGAUAGAAUAGCAGGAAAGGUGAGCUUAUACAACUUUAAGUAAAGGUUUUAAAGGACUUGACAGCCACUUUGAUUGCACCAAAUUCUUGUACAAACCUGUAUUUGUACAGAUUAGUUCCAGGAUGAUUUUGUUUUAGAGCCUGCUGAGAUGUAGGGCUAAUGUAAACACGCUUUGCAAAUCUACGAGUAGUCAACUUUCACGUCUGUAGGAAAAGAAAAUGUUAUGCCCCCUCCAUCUGUAAAACUGUGAUGAGACACUGAAUGGAUGUUUUUCCUAAGUCUA